rnacentral:rRNA from 1 species
GAUGAACGCUGGCGGCGUGCCUAAUACAUGCAAGUCGAGCGAACAGAUGAGGAGCUUGCUCCUCUGACGUUAGCGGCGGACGGGUGAGUAACACGUGGAUAACCUACCUGUAAGACUGGGAUAACUUCGGGAAACCGGAGCUAAUACCGGAUAAUAUAUUGAACCGCAUGGUUCAAUAGUGAAAGACGGUUUUGCUGUCACUUAUAGAUGGAUCCGCGCCGCAUUAGCUAGUUGGUAAGGUAACGGCUUACCAAGGCAACGAUGCGUAGCCGACCUGAGAGGGUGAUCGGCCACACUGGAACUGAGACACGGUCCAGACUCCUACGGGAGGCAGCAGUAGGGAAUCUUCCGCAAUGGGCGAAAGCCUGACGGAGCAACGCCGCGUGAGUGAUGAAGGUCUUCGGAUCGUAAAACUCUGUUAUUAGGGAAGAACAAAUGUGUAAGUAACUAUGCACGUCUUGACGGUACCUAAUCAGAAGGCCACGGCUAACUACGUG